CAGUCGUGAGGCAUGUAGUAGUAGGUAUUAGCUGUCAUAAUUGACGUAGCGACAGGAGAGCAUCUGGCUAACUGCGUAGCAGCAGUCAGCGGUAAUACGGAGGGUGCGAGCGUUAAUCGUAGUUACCUGGGCGUAAAGCGCAUGCAGGUGGUUUGUUAAGUCAGAUGUGAAAGGCCGGGGCUCAACCUGGGAAUUGCAUUUGAAACUGGCAGACUAGAGUACUGUAGAGGGGGGUAGAAUUUCAGGUGUAGCGGUGAAAUGCGUAGAGAUCUGAAGGAAUACCGGUGGCGAAGGCGGCCCCCUGGACAGAUACUGACACUCAGAUGCGAAAGCGUGGGGAGCAAACAGGAUUAGAUACCGUGGUAGUCCACGCCGUAAACGAUGUCUACUUGGAGGUUGUGGCCUUGAGCCGUGGCUUUCGGAGCUAACGCGUUAAGUAGACCGCCUGGGGAGUACGGUCGCAAGAUUAAAACUCAAAUGAAUUGACGGGGGCCCGCACAAGCGGUGGAGCAUGUGGUUUAAUUCGAUGCAACGCGAAGAACCUUACCUACUCUUGACAUCCAGAGAACUUUCCAGAGAUGGAUUGGUGCCUUCGGGAACUCUGAGACAGGUGCUGCAUGGCUGUCGUCAGCUCGUGUUGUGAAAUGUUGGGUUAAGUCCCGCAACGAGCGCAACCCUUAUCCUUGUUUGCCAGCGAGUAAUGUCGGGAACUCCAGGGAGACUGCCGGUGAUAAACCGGAGGAAGGUGGGGACGACGUCAAGUCAUCAUGGCCCUUACGAGUAGGGCUACACACGUGCUACAAUGGCGCAUACAGAGGGCGGCCAACUUGCGAAAGUGAGCGAAUCCCAAAAAGUGCGUCGUAGUCCGGAUUGGAGUCUGCAACUCGACUCCAUGAAGUCGGAAUCGCUAGUAAUCGUGGAUCAGAAUGCCACGGUGAAUACGUUCCCGGGCCUUGUACACACCGCCCGUCACACCAUGGGAGU
rnacentral:rRNA from 1 species